UAGGGAAUCUUUCACAAUGGGCGAAAGCCUGAUGGAGCAACGCCGCGUGUGUGAUGAAGGGUUUCGGCUCGUAAAACACUGUUGUAAGAGAAGAAUGACAUUGAGAGUAACUGUUCAAUGUGUGACGGUAUCUUACCAGAAAGGAACGGCUAAAUACGUGCAG
rnacentral:rRNA from 1 species